rnacentral:ncRNA from 1 species
CCGAAAAAGGGCGGCGACGGGCCCGCGUUCACGCUGAGGAAACCGGUGCGAAUCCGGUGCGGUCCCGCCACUGUGAUCGGGCACUUCCCACCCGAGAGCCAGAUACUCACCGUCGGCGCCUGCUCACC